rnacentral:rRNA from 1 species
CCUACGGGGGGCUGCAGUGGGGAAUAUUGCACAAUGGGCGCAAGCCUGAUGCAGCCAUGCCGCGUGUGUGAAGAAGGCCUUCGGGUUGUAAAGCACUUUCAGCGGGGAGGAAGGCGUUAAGGUUAAUAACCUUGUCGAUUGACGUUACCCGCAGAAGAAGCACCGGCUAACUCCGUGCCAGCAGCCGCGGUAAUACGGAGGGUGCAAGCGUUAAUCGGAAUUACUGGGCGUAAAGCGCACGCAGGCGGUCUGUCAAGUCGGAUGUGAAAUCCCCGGGCUCAACCUGGGAACUGCAUUCGAAACUGGCAGGCUAGAGUCUUGUAGAGGGGGGUAGAAUUCCAGGUGUAACGGUGAAAUGCGUAGAGAUCUGGAGGAAUACCGGUGGCGAAGGCGGCCCCCUGGACAAAGACUGACGCUCAGGUGCGAAAGCGUGGGGAGCAAACAGGAUUAGAUACCCGUGUAGUC